GCUGACGAGUGGCGGACGGGUGAGUAAUGUCUGGGAAACUGCCUGAUGGAGGGGGAUAACUACUGGAAACGGUAGCUAAUACCGCAUAACGUCGCAAGACCAAAGAGGGGGACCUUCAGGCCUCUUGCCAUCGGAUGUGCCCAGAUGGGAUUAGCUUGUUGGUGGGGUAACGGCUCACCAAGGCGACGAUCCCUAGCUGGUCUGAGAGGAUGACCAGCCACACUGGAACUGAGACACGGUCCAGA
rnacentral:rRNA from 1 species